rnacentral:rRNA from 1 species
UACGUAGGGGGCAAGCGUUGUCCGGAAUCAUUGGGCGUAAAGAGCGUGUAGGCGGCCCGGUAAGUCUGUUGUGAAAGUCCAGGGCUCAACCCUGGAAAGCCGAUGGAUACUGCCGGGCUAGAGUUCGGAAGAGGCGAGUGGAAUUCCUGGUGUAGCGGUGGAAUGCGCAGAUAUCAGGAGGAACACCUAUAGCGAAGGCAGCUCGCUGGGACGACACUGACGCUGAGACGCGAAAGCGUGGGAGCGAACAGG